GACGAACGCUGGCGGCGUGCUUAACACAUGCAAGUCGAACGGGAUUUAGUAGACAGAAGCUUCGGUGGAAGAUUACUAAUGAGAGUGGCGAACGGGUGAGUAACGCGUGAGCAACCUGCCUAUGACAGUGGGAUAGCCUCGGGAAACCGGGAUUAAUACCGCAUAAAAUCGUAGAAACACAUGUUUUAACGGUCAAAGAUUUAUCGGUCAUAGAUGGGCUCGCGUCUGAUUAGCUAGUUGGUGAGAUAACAGCCCACCAAGGCGACGAUCAGUAGCCGGUCUGAGAGGAUGAACGGCCACAUUGGAACUGAGACACGGUCCAAACUCCUACGGGAGCAGCAGUGGGGAAUAUUGCACAAUGGGGGAAACCCUGAUGCAGCGACGCGCGUG
rnacentral:rRNA from 1 species